ensembl:lncRNA novel transcript
AGAACUCGUGAGCAACUCCUUAGUGGAUUGGGCUGAAAGAAAAUCAAACCCGUGAAAGCCCUGAAUUGAUGUGGUUAUGAAAGCGCAUUGGCCAAGCUGGCUUUCCUUCCUCUGACCCCCAUCUAACUAUGGUGAACGCCCUCGUCAGUGGGAUGAGGCUCCCAGGCUCCUGAUAGCAGGUAGAGGAGAGAACGAGACCGCAAAGAGGGAAGCCGAGAGGAGUGAUGAAGACCCUGGCCCUACCAUCUACUCAGGCUGUCUUUGCAGCCACACUGUGAGCCCAGGCUGGUUAACGCUUCCUCCUGGAGGAGAAAAGCUAAGAGAGAAAACAAAAUCCAUGCAGCGCGCUCCCCCUCGGCCCCUCCUCUCUGUCUCCUCUGUGCGCUAACCUCCAAUGCCCUGCGGGAACCAAUUACAGUAUUCUAAUGAGUGUAGUUUCCAAUAACUGCAUUUGACGGGCCUGUUACCUCCUCAUCUCAGCUCACCUUUCCCAGCCAUGAAGCAGGUGGCCCAGUGCUUGCUCACUGGCCUGGCAUCUCCCGGUGGAGUCACCAGGGAUGCAGGGCCAUAGGGAUGUGUGUGUGAAUACUGGUGUUCACAGAAUGCAAAGGACUGUGGGCCAAGCCAGCAAGGAAAUAAGCCAGGCAGCCAUUAUAACACAGGUGACUUGGAUGUACAGGCACCAAGAUAUAUUAACUGAGGAGAUUCCAUAUCCUCAGUUCCAUAGCUGAAUGGUUGACACACCUGAAGCAGUCGAUAACAUUUGAUGAAUAAAUGAACGAAUGAAAAGAUACA